rnacentral:tmRNA from 1 species
GGGGGUGCCUGGUUUUGACAGCGGGCAGAGUUUGAUUGUAAGCACGCCGAGCGCUGGGUGGCGGCUCGUUAAUCCCGAUGCUCAAAUUUCAAAUGGCAAUAAUAGCUAUGCACUCGCUGCCUAAUAUUCAAAGAAUGUUAGCUUAAUCCCGGGGUCCUAGGAGGCUCUGCGACGAGUAUCCCGGAGGGUAGUUCCGCUCUUUAACCGCCUUCCAUACGGGGUAUCAUCAAUUUAGAGAUAGUGCGACGGAGUGUCCCGGACGGCGUGCGAAAUCAAGGGACUGGGACCCGCGCUAGGUUGUUGCCUGCCAGGCUUGGGUAGAAGGAUCAAACGGUAACUAAGCGUGUAGAAAGCUUUUGGAUUCCCUGUUUGGACGCGGGUUCGACUCCCGCCACCUCCACA